CACAAUAUAUCAGAUUCCUCUUAUUUAUCACCCACACCUAAAAAAUAAGUUAACAUUGAAAAAGGUAAGCUCUUCUUCUAUCCUGUAGUAUUAAUAAUGAUAAGAAAUAAUAUUUGGUAAUAGUAGUAAGAGACAACAGUAGUUUUAUAUCACAACCCAUGCGUUCAGCUGAAGAUUCAUCAGGAGCGUGCCUUUGCUGGCAGAAAACAUUGAUACUCUAGUCGUCCACGUAUAUAAUGGAUUCUGAGAAUAAUUCGAACCUCUGAUGGUGCUCUACUCACGCGGGGUCCUGUUCCGCUUUGUGGAGUGUGGACGCCAAUAGUGGCUGGUAUAGCAACCCGAAUCAUAAAAAGAAGGAAAGCCUGCGCAAUUUAAUAGUUAAAGUUUAUGAGCUUUUUCUCCACUUGUGUAUUUUAUGACUCUCGUGAAAAGGACCCAAAUUUUGAGGUGAAAAACGAAAUUAAAAAAAAAAACAAAACAGCAACGAAGAUUACUCACCAAAAGGCAUGCCCUUGCUCUACUUGCAAGAAUUCAAAAGCAGAAUAUAGGCUUCACUCGCACUCUUUCACACGUUUCCC
rnacentral:lncRNA from 1 species